rnacentral:rRNA from 1 species
GUGCCAGCAGCCGCGGUAAUACAGAGGUCUCGAGCGUUAGGCGGAAUCACUGGGCUUAAAGCGUGUGUAGGUGGAUGCCUAAGUACCUUGUGAAAUCCCACAGCUUAACUGUGGAACUGCUUGGUAUACUGGGUGUCUUGAGUCACUCAGGGGCGAGCGGAACAAAUGGUGGAGCGGUGAAAUGCGUAGAUAUCAUUUGGAACGCCAAUGGUGAAAACAGCUCGCUGGGGGUGUACUGACACUGAGACACGAAAGCCAGGGGAGCGAACGGGAUUAGAUACCCUCGUAGUCC